GACGAACGCUGGCGGCGUGCCUAAUACAUGCAAGUCGAACGCAGUGGGGACGGGUGAGUAACACGUGGGUAACCUCCCAUCAGAGGGGAUAACACUUGGAAACAGGUGCUAAACCGAUACUGAUGGAUGGACCCGGGGGGCAGUAGCUCGUUGGUGAGGUAACGGCUAACCAAGGCCACGAUGCAUAGCUGCGCUGAGAGGGUGAUCGGCCACACUGGGACUGCGACACGGCCCAGACUCCUACGGGAGGCAGCAGUAGGGAAUCUUCGGCAAUGGACGAAAGUCUGACCGAGCAACGCCGCGUGAGUGAAGAAGGUUUUCGGAUUGUAAAACUCUGUUGUUAGAGAAGCGGUAUCUACCCAGAAAGCCACGGCUAACUACGUGCCAGCCGCCGCGGUAAUUC
rnacentral:rRNA from 1 species